UCCCAGUUCGGAUUNUAGUCUGCAACCCGACUACAUGAAGCUGGAAUCGCUAGUAAUCGCGGAUCAGAAUGCCGCGGUGAAUACGUUCCCGGGUCUUGUACACACCGCCCGUCACACCAUGGGAGUCGGAAAUGCCCGAAGUCUGUGACCCAACCUUAGGGAGGGAGCAGCCGAAGGCAGGUCGGAUGACUGGGGUGAAGUCGUAACAAGGUAAC
rnacentral:rRNA from 1 species